rnacentral:RNase_MRP_RNA from 1 species
AAGACACGCUUCGGAGCACACAUACGGAGAGGCGUGGGCCUGGCCCCCUCUCAAUCCCCUUGCUCUGAGGAACGUCCCCGGGCACUUCGGCAGAGAGUGCCAGCCGUGAAGGCAAGGUCCCCGCGGCACGCAAGAGCACGAAGACGGCCUAUCGGCCUCUCCUCGGAGGGGCCGGGGGCCGGAGUUUUCCUGCGCCGCGGGUCCGGCCAUUGCGAUACAGUGAUGCGUGUCGAGGCCCCUCGGGGUCUUUGAACAGAACGGGGCUUACUCUGGCG